rnacentral:misc_RNA from 1 species
UUUUAAGAAUUCAAAAUAAUUGAUAAUCACAAGUGUGCAAGACAUCAAAUACAUCAGGUAUUCCUCUCCAAGCUACUAUUUAUUACAAACAGAUUACACUAAUGGGUGCAGAACAAUGGAGUAACUGGGUAUGGAGUUCAUUCUUUGCCGAUUAAUCUCUCAUAGGAAAACCGAUUUUAAUUAGAUGGCAAAUGAUUAUUUUCUUUGUACAAAUGACCUAGCAUUAAGGCACCCUAAAACAUGAUACCAAAUACAUGAAAAAUCCUCCAAGCCGUUGCUCUACAUCAAGGUUAGGUGCAGACUUCCCUUGUGCACUAAAAUGCCUCUGAACACAGAAUUGCUCCAUAUGUCUGCACAUGUUAAGUUACCUCUCAAACUGCUCCAAACCAGGAAAGUUAAUGCUUUGAAAUCCUCCCUUGGGAACGCAGAAUGUUGUUUGCUUGGUGGGUAACGACUUAUUUCCCAUUUCAUCUGUGCUGGUCUCAAGGCCACAAGCAUUGCAAAAUUGUUCCAGAUCUGAUUCCUUCAUCAUCAAAAGCUUUGAUAGAUGUACCAAAGGAUAUGGAUGGAGCUUGUAGCCAACAUUAUUUAUACAUGACAAAGAUAAAGCUCGAACCUCAUUAAUGUAAGAUUCAAUAAUACAAUACUGCAGAUAGGACGCCUUAGCAGCUAUGGUGCAAAAGAAUAGCUUGUAAUUGCCCAUGCGAAAAGAUCGUAAAAUACUCCUGGCAAAACACAUCUUUUCUGACUUGAUAAUUGGACGAGGCACAUGUCUAAACCACAAAGAAAGUGACUCCCCCGUUGAUUGGCUUCUAGAAUCAAGAUGAAGCAGCACAUAAAGUGAACAAAACUCAGCCUCGUUUUCAUAAAUAGAAUUGGCAUUUCGAUUUGCAUCAUACAGUUCAAAUAGAGAUGUCAGAGCCUUUAUAAGCUGCUCCAUGUUGAGAUAAUGCACUGAGGAAACAUUUGCACUGCUACCACAGCAUCGAAGCUUAUGGUGAGAUACUACAUGAAAUUUAACCAUUUUUUCAUACAUGUAGAUUGCCUUAUCAUUGACUAUAUUCUGCAUGCUAAGAUCUUGUCUUAUGGACCUUGUCCUGUCAAAGAUGAAAUCAUGAACUACUUCAUAAGGAUGGUCUGUAGAAUCUGCCAACUUUAAAAGGUAGCUUAAAGUGUCUUCCAAUACUGGGAGUGGCCGCACAUCAGAUGUCUGUGUGUGCUUGGUUGAUAUAGUUCUGCAAAACUUUUUGACAGCUAGGCUUGGAGACGUUUUCCUUGGAUUUCCAUGUAGCCUCUCAAACACAGCUAAGUCUCGCAGCUGCUCUCGUUGUGCCCUUUCACCCUCUGGGCACAUAAAAGGGCAAGUUCCAAUUAGAAUUGGAAAACUGGAAGAAUCCUCGUCUUUUACUACUACUUCAUCUGCUUGAGCUCCUGUUUUCAAAUUCUGAUGGUGGGUAUUGCUACUGCUACCUGAUCCUCUUCUAGGUUUCCACUCGGGGCCAUCACGGGGACCCGUUGUGUUGUUAGGUCCAUGGUUGCUUCUAGUGUUUGGGUUAAAGCGAGAGAAUUUGGUGCUAUUUGUGUUAUGUGGGGUGGAGCGCGAUGAUUCGUUCAGAGAAGAAGAAGAAGAAGAAGACUUACCUGGCGGUGACGGGCGCUGGGCCAUCGGACGGCGGCAAAGCAGGCGCAGGGCGAGUCUGGUGCAGGUGAGUUUUUUCGAUUUCAAGUUUUCACUUUUCUGUUCUUCCAUUCCAUGUCUUCAAUAGAUUGCAAUAUAGCCCUGGUGAAGUUGCUUUUAUAUUUGAAUCUGUCAUUUAUGAUUUGGUGAAGUGAUGAUGGGUUAAGUUUAGAAAAAUUUGAGGGCUUCUAAUUGCACUUUCAUGUGUCUUUAGUCUUCCCACUCUGCCUUCGAUCCCGCUUAAUAAUUCUGAUUCUGGAUGAUGAAGUGAGGGAGCUAAGUUGUGAUGUCUUUAUUUACGCCAGACCUAAAAGUUGUGAGACAUCCAAUUGUCUUUUUCUGCUAUAGACCAAGAAAAGAAGAUUGUCAUAGUCAGAUAGAAUAAGAAAUAUUAAUGUUUUCUUUGUGAUUUUCGCCAAAGAGUAAUCAAGUGACUUAAAUAUAAAAUUCCCAGCAUAUAUCCCUAAUUUAUAUACAAUACUCACCAUAACUAAGAAGAGUAUGUCCAGGAACCAACCGAUAUAGAAAUACAAUGUCCUCAAUGUCUGUAGAAUUGUUGUCGGGCCUCAGCACACUCAUGGUGUAAAACUUUACCCUCUCAGACUUUGGCAAGUAAAUAUCACUAAAAAACUCAGUCAAAUGAGUGCACACCAGAACCUUUGGAGGGUCAUCACAUGCAAUAAAGUGAUUUAUGGUUCCACCAAGUAGACCAACUCCAUCUUCCGUAAGUGUACCUUUACCAAAUUCAUCUAACAGACAUAGAGAUAGUGAAGUUGCCUGCCUGAAAAUUCACCAACAUAAAUACAUGGAAACAAAAAGGAUGUUAUUCAAAAGAUGCAUUAUAGACCUCCAGUUAUGCAAGCAGGUAUUCUUCGAACUUCUCUUUCCACAUUCCAAUAUCCCCUAUGAAAUCAAAUGAAAUUAGCAAGAAAAACAAAGAUUCUUCAUUACAGAUCGACAAGGUCCAGACAACAAAGAGCUUGAGGCAGUUUUCAUGAACCAUGGCUUUUAACUAAAUAAUCGAAACCAUUCUAACUGUCCUCAUACAAAGUUUACCUCAGCAUCAUCCCUACUUGAUGCAGAUCUAUCAUGAACGUUGAUUUUUCUGCUGUCAUAAGCUUGUUUCCCAUUGCACAGAAUAUCCUAUCAGUCAAUCCCACAAUAGCAGCAUCUGCUGGUACAAAACUUCCAAUGUGCGAAAGGAAAACAAUCAAAGCCACCUGUUUUAUGUAUAUACUCUUCCCUGAAUAAUUAGGACCAGUGAUGAUAUUGAUCCUUCCAUCAUCAAGAAUCUUUGUAUCGUUAGGAAUAAAUGUAUCUACAGUCAUUUCCUGCAAAACAUGUCUUCCAUUCUGUAUGUUAAGAAAUGUUUCUUCGGUUAAAGUGGGCCUCACAUAAUUGUUCUGACGAGCAACUAGGGCCAAUGACAAAAGGCAAUCAAGUUCAGCCACAAAAUUCACAGCUUUAAGCAGAAAUGCUGAAAAUAGAAUAAUAUGUGACACCAAGUCUCUAAUAAUUGCUCUCUCCAUAUCUAGAAUCUUAUGAUAGAUGUCCCCAAGAAGAUCAUCCAAUUCUCGCGUUUUUGGGGUACGAUAAAAGAAUCUUUUAGUCUCUCCAUCAGCAUCAGAGAACACAAAUUCAAAAUCUUGAAGCUUUUCCAGUAAGGUUUCAUCAAGCUUUUCUUCAAAAAUACAUAGCAAAUAUCCCAUGCCAAUUUCUUCAAUAACAUUACACUGCAGCAAUAAAGCAAACCUAUUUGUUGCAUAUAAACAAUACAUGGAGCAAUCUUCUGAUUACUCAAAUGGGGAAGUUGUGCAAGCUCCACUGAGGAAAUCUCUUGCAGAAAAUCUGGCAAAUCCUCAUAGAUUUCUCGCAAUUCAUCCAACUACAUUUGAUGGAAAGGAAUGAAUUGUCAAAGAUCCAAAACUAAAUUUGAAGUGUUAGCCAGCACAGGUGAUAAAUGAAAAACCUUAUAGAAUGUGGCAUGAGGAUUUUAGGCAAACAAAAUAAAUACUAUCAUCUCAACACUAAAUUCACCAGUGAGUAGAAGAAAUCUGUUAAAUCUUUACAAAAUGAAAUAGAAAAAUGAGAACACAGAAGAAAAGAAAGAAAAGUUCAGGAAAGUCAAUUAAUUUGCAACCUCAUCACAGAAACCAUCUUUCACUAUUGUUCCAUAACCCUUCUCUUUACUUCUAUUAACAUCAAUAACACCAAUCACCAAUUCAUAAAGAUCAACCAGUUCUGUAGAAAUACAUGAAGACACCCUUUCAACAAUGUCGAGAUUCAAGCGCUUUGCCUGCUCUUGCAGACUUUCUGAUAUGCCUACUUUGAAUAUCCUAUCCACAUGCAAAAGUGAACAAAUGCUCUUCAAAAAGGCAGUCCAAUCACCAGUAGUGCACAUGGAGCUUGGAGAGUUAAAUUUCUUCAGAAAAUAAAAAGAAAGGAGAGUAUUACAAAUUUCAAAAGAUAAAAUGGUGCCAAAAGAGGUCCACCAAUACAACCAAAUCUUAUUACAGAAAAAGGAUAAGAACUAAAAUAUUUAUAUCAAUAACAAUGGCCAAUUUGUGAAACGGUGAGUAUGAAGUCUGUCCUCAAAGAAGGUCUGUCCUCAAAGAAAGUUACUGUAGCAUAAAUAUAAUUUGGGAAAUACCCCUUACAACCCCAGAUAAUAGUAGAAGGAUGAAUAAUAAAAGUGAUAGUACCCUGAGUAUGCGGGAAAUGUCCUUGACAGACUUCAGUGUUUCAUGCAGAGAAACCAUCAGUUCUUCAGAACACAAAAAGAAUGAUAUAGCAUUGAGACGGCCAUUCAAGCUUUCUAGGUCAAGUAUGGGCCUCAGGAACCAAUUUCUUAAGCAAGGAAAACAAUAUGUUCAAGUCCCAACAGAUUAAGAUAAUAUGCUGGAAGAAAUAAUAUCAGAAAUGUGCCAAAAUUAAUUCACCUUAAAAGACGUUGACCCAUUGGCGUCACACACUUAUUCAUCAUGCCAAACACAGAGAACCUGCAAUGUCAAGAAAUCAGUAGAUCUAUUUUCCAGGUAAAAAUAUUGAAAAUAUAAUACAAAAUUACCCUUCCUUUGAUCUGCCAAUGCCCAUAUGGCUUGGGUGUUUAUCUACUUGGAAAAUCUGCAAUGCCUCGUGACAUGCUGCAUCAAGUUUAAGAAAUUUGUUUCUGUUUUUAAAUGUAAGGGAUACAUUGUUGUCCAAGUUUCUUUCCCACAAACAAGCUAAAACUUCAACAUACACAAACAUAUAUGUCAAAACAAAAUAUAAACUAUUUAAGAAUUAAAUUCCAUAGAUCAGAAGAUACAAUGAAAUUUCUGUGACUGAAUCUAUUGUAAUUGAUGCACUUCCACAUUCUUUUUGCUCAAGGGUAUCUACAAUCCUUUCAUUUUCUAAUAUGGCAAGAAGACCCCCACUCGCUCGAACUUGAACUUCACUUCCUAUGUCCAUCAUAGAACUCAAAUAACAAAUUCUCUCCUUGAUGUUUAGUCCAUCAUCCAUUCCUGUUACUCGAAGGUAUAUCAAUCUGUGCCAUGCUUGCUCAUAGCUGAAAAUUGAACUUUUUACCAGUUUCACUGUAGGAGCCUCAGUGGUGCCAUCACUUCGUUGUAAAGCGGAUAUGAAGGAUUCUUCACUUUUACUGCUUGUGUAAACAAUGAGAGGCUUAGCCUGAUAUUUUACGAGAUCAAUCAGGGGGAAGUCUGAGCUUCCAUCUUCCCAAACGUCAAGCACAUGAAGUUGGCGAAUACUAGAAUCAUAAUAAGAAAUUCCAACCCGAUGACCAUGUAGAAUGCAUGCCAUAUAAACCUGAGCAUGGGCCUCCGUUUCGUCCAUAUCCUCCAUCUCUUUUGAGCUCCAAAUGCGUGUAGCUGUGACUUGUGAGAGAGAGCUCAGAGAGGGUGAUAUACAUGUGUGUGCUUGCUUCGGAGCAACGAAUUGGCUUAUAUACGGUUAAGUCCGAAUCCGAAAUGGUUCAGGAAGGAAUCUAAAUUAGGCUAUGUUUGUU